rnacentral:rRNA from 1 species
GAUGAACGCUGGCGGCGUGCCUAACACAUGCAAGUCGAACGAACAGACGAGGAGCUUGCUCCUCUGACGUUAGCGGCGGACGGGUGAGUAACACGUGGAUAACCUACCUAUACGACUGGGAUAAUUUUGGGAAACCGGGGCUAAUACCCGAAAAUAUAUUGAACCUCAUGGUUCAAUCGUUAAAGAAGGUUUUGCUGUCACUUAUAGACUGCUCCGCGCCGCAUUAAAUAGUUGGUAAGGUAACGGCUUACCAAGGCGACGAUGCGUAGCCGACCCGAGAGGGUGAUCGGCCACACUGGAACUGAGACACAGUCCAGACUCCUACGGGAGGCAGCAGUAGGGAAUCUUCCGCGAUGGGCGAAAGCCUAACGGAGCAACGCCGCGUGAGUGAUGAAGGUCUUCGGAUCGUAAAACUCUGUUAUUAGGGAAGAACAAAUGUGUAAGUAACUAUGCACGUCUUGACGGUACCUAAACAGAAAGCCACGGCUAACUACGUG